rnacentral:rRNA from 1 species
GGGAUGAGCUUGCGUCCGAUUAGAUAGUUGGUGGGGUAACGGCCUACCAAGUCGACGAUCGGUAGCCGGCCUGAGAGGGUGAUCGGCCACAUUGGGACUGAGAUACGGCCCAGACUCCUACGGGAGGCAGCAGUAGGGAAUAUUGCACAAUGGGGGAAACCCUGAUGCAGCAACGCCACGUGUGGGAAGAAGCAUUUCGGUGUGUAAACCACUGUCGUGAGGGAAUAAUGUUGCGUUUGCGGCGCAAUUGAAUGUACCUCGAAAGGAAGCACCGGCAAACUUCGUGCCAGCAGCCGCGGUAAUACGAGGGGUGCAAGCGUUGUUCGGAAUCACUGGGCGUAAAGGGAGCGCAGGCGGAGAUGCAAGCGGACUGUACAAUACCGGGGCCCAACCCCGGACCUGCAGACUGGACUGUGUCUCUUGGAUAGUUCAGGGGCAGGCGGAAUUCCUGGUGUAGCGGUGGAAUGCGUAGAGAUCAGGAAGAACACCGAUGGCGAAGGCGGCUUUCUGGACUGUAACUGACGUUGAGGCACGAAAGUUGGGGGAGCAAACAGGAUUAGAUACCCUGGUAGUCC